GCCUUCAUCGGCUUGCGGUACCCACUGGGAGGGGAGACAUGUUUACAUGUUCUCACCUCCCCCACCAUUUUUCAGGUAUUGCAGGCGGUGAGGUUUAGACGAGACGUGAGACACGUACGUAGCGGUCGAUAGAUCUUCUGACCCAUGUCGUUCGGUUUAGCUCUUACCCUUUUUAUUUCUGUUGAUAUAUAGCUUAGAUAGUUUAUAUGGUUCAGUAUUUUUAUUACAUUUGAAUAUGUGGAUUUUCAUGAAUGUAAUAAAAGGUUUUCUACCCCUCGUGGUAGCAUUUUUAAAGAAUAAAGGUUUUCGUGUAGGAAACAGUUUUCAAAAGAAUUUUUUAUGGAUUUCUGUUUAAACUUUGAAUGUAAAACUGUGAUGUGAAUGGUGAAUGUAUGAAUGUAUGAAUGUAUAGUGAUCUUUAUAUUCAUCUAGUUAUGGUUGUAUUCUGGUUGUAUUCUUGUACUUGUGCGACGCCGUGCAAAUACAGGGGAGACUCUGUCCGUGUGAAUAGUGGAUCUCCUAUAUUUCAGACGCUUUUCCGCUAUCUCUUAAACCGAAAGGGACCCCGGGGCGUGACAGUAUAUCGGUACCCGCUCGAUGCAGUACCGAUACCCGACUCCAGUAUCAGUACUCGGCAACCCCGUACCGGUACUCAGCACCCCUCAGCCCAAACCCGAGAGCAGCUCUCUCGAUCGUGUAAUGGGAUUUCGGUACCUCACCUAGGUAUCGGUACCCAGCAUUCCAAAAUCUGAAUUUACAAAUUUUAGUGCUAAGUACUCCUCUUCGCAUUCUCAAAAUACGAGUAAUUGGUCGGUACUCACUAACAACCUUC
rnacentral:lncRNA from 1 species